GUCUACGGCCAUACCACCCUGAACGCGCCCGAUCUCGUCUGAUCUCGGAAGCUAAGCAGGGUCGGGCCUGGUUAGUACUUGGAUGGGAGAAAGUAGGCAUGUUUAAAUU
ensembl:rRNA 5S_rRNA 5S ribosomal RNA